GAUUUAACCAAGCGCGGGUAAACAGCGGGAGUAACUAUGACUCUCUUAAGGUAGCCAAAUGCCUCGUCGUCCAAUUAGCGACGCGCAUGAAUGGAUUAAUGAGAUUCCCACUGUCCCUAAUUACUAUCUAGCGAAACCACAGCCAAGGGAACGGGCUUGGCAAAAUUAGCGGGGAAAGAAGACCCUGUUGAGCUUGACUUUAUUCAGAAUUUGUGAAAUGGUGCUCGAGGUAUAGAAUAGGUGGGAGUGUAACGAAAUUGAAAUACCACUACUUUUGACGUUGUUUUACUUAUUAAAUAAAAACUAAAAGAUUAAUAAUCUUGAUUCUAGAAUUAACGAAUAUUACAUGUUGACUCCAUGUGGGUUAACCUCUGAUUUGGGAAGUUUGUUUAAGACAUUUUCUGGUGGGAGUUUGGCUGGGGCGGCACAUCUGUUAAAAGAUAACACAGGUGUCCAAAGUAUAACUCAAUGAGAACGGAAAUCUCAUGUAGAAUAAAAGGUAAAGUUAUAUGAUUUUGAUUUUCAGUAAGAAUACAAACCGUGAAAGCGUG
rnacentral:rRNA from 1 species